AACUAUAAUAUAUGGUAUGCAAUAUCCUCCAUCAUACUUUUGAGAUAUUAGUGCAUUUGCCGUCAAUAAACUAAAACAUGUAUGUCUUUCAUUCUAACGAAAGAUUAAACAGGGACACAUUUAUCUGACGAUCCCAUAUGUAUUGACUUUAAUAACUGUCAGGUCAAUAGAUAAAAUUUUAACAUGUGCAUAUUAUUAGUAUGACAUGUAUAUAUGCUCUAAUUUUUGGACUGCAUGACCAUUAAUAUCCCAAAACUAUGACAGAGGGUAUCAAUAUACUAUUUAUGAUAAUAAUGUGAAAUAUCUUGUCCUUUUUCCCUUUAUUAAUUACUUAGGUCAAAAUACACGCACCAUCCCACAUUGCCAUUCAAAAUAUAAAAAACAAAAUGGUACAUUUUGCUAAUUAAUUCUUUUAUGUUCCCUUUAAUGACUCUUUGAUUAAGCCAUUGACAAGUCUUUAAUUAAUGAACAAAACUUUUGAGUCAUCAAAACUAAUACUUAGCUUGUUAUUGUGACAAAGACUAAACUCUGAAUGGAGCAAAUGGACCAAUAGAAGCUUAAAACUUGAAGUAGACUCUUGAAAAAUAAUAUUUCCUUGUAAUGCAAUUAAGGGACCCAUCUAGAAUAAAGUUGCUCUCAACUUUAAAAUUAUUAUUUCAUCAUUAAUACCAAGUCCCCUAGUGUAACAAUUAUGCUAACUAUUUCAGGAAAAACAAUAUUCCAAUUUCAAUAAUUCAAGAUGUACUUGCAAGUUAUUUGCUUCUUUUUUUAUUAACAUACUCCAAAAUGUAAUUUUAUUCAGAGUAACUCAAAUAACAAGUCACGGUGUUGUAUAUUUACUAUUUGAGAACACCACAAGAAUAUCAUUUAUGUACCUGUAAAAAUCAUGUUAGACGUUUCAUUUUCUAUGGAUUUUGUUAAUUGUUCUAAACUAUUAAUGCCCUUUUAUAAUUUUCUUGUUAUUAUACUAUGAAUAAUAGAUUAAAUUUCAAAAAUUCGUAAGGCUUACGAGUUACGCCCUGCACCAAGUAAAAAACCAUGCCUCAAACAUUGAUACUAACAAAUCAGAAUUCUAUCACCUCUCCUACUGCACUCUAAAAAUCACAACCAUGUUAAAACUUGAAUUUUCAAUGGCCGUAGACGCUAAUCUUUAGGUGCAUAUGUAGUAGCUUGCAAACCACAGGUAAAAGUAACCCGCACUAGACAAGCCCACGGCUCCUAUGAAUUUUCAUUGGCUUUGUAAAAUCUUGGAUGAAUUGUGUCACAAAAUCCAUGCAACAACACAGUGAAAGCUUAAUUCCCCAAGGACAAAGAUUACCCUAUCAAAGCCCGUCUUUUUUGUUUUCCCAAAUUCUGCAAUUUUCUAACAAAUAAAUAACUUGAAGAAUAAGGGAUGUCAAUUUAGGGAAAGAAAUGAGAUAAUAAAGAAGAGGGGGUCAUAGAAAGUGUAGAAAGUACAAGUGAUUGGUAGAGUAGCAACUUCUUCUACAAGGAGAGAGGUAUGAUAGAGACAUAACACCAAGUGAAAAAAUUGUGAAAGUAAUAAAUUGUAAUGAAAUGAAUGCAUGAUAUCGUCUACAAGGCAUAUAGCAAAUGUUUAUAAGGAUAGUGACCCUAACUUCACCCUUUGUCUAAGCAAACUAACACCCCUUUUCUCUUAGUGUGUGUCUCUCUUAUUUCUCACCCCCCAUUCAUUUUUACCUACCAUGAACAUCAUCUACUCCCUCUUUUCAUCAUGGGAUGGCUUCAAUCCCUCUUCUCUCCAUUGAAGAAGCUUUGGUUUCGUCUUCACUCUGCUCCGAAGAAGAGAAGAGGGAUAUAUAUACUCUACGAGGAUGUUAAAUCUUGCCCUUGUGAAGAUGUUCAAGUGCUUUGGUCCAUACUAGUGGAGUCUCAUCCACAUUCUUUGCCACCACGAAAAUGAGGGACUUAUGGGAGGGGAGAUUUAAUUUACAGUCACAUGUACAUAUAUAUCACACCACUUUUGUCCCAACCUAGGUUUUCUUUGUUCAAAUUUUCUAUCUUUUGUGAGUGAGGUCCAUCUGAAAAGUUUUUAAGUUAUUGAAACUUGUGUCUUUCUCUUUAUUUUAGUUGUACAUUCUUCAAGAUGUGGUAAAUAUUUAUAAGUAACUUUUAUUGA